UUUUGUAAGCGCCCUGCGUAAGGGUGACUCACGGACUUCAGCUGGAUUAAAUGUGUAUUACCCGGGAGGAACUGUAAAGAACCAGCCAGCCCGCCGAGCUGCCCACCCGGCCAAGCUGUACUUUGUGUAUGCCAACAUGCCGACAUGCUGUACUUUGUUAGUACUUCAAGAUCAUUUAAUGGAAAAUUGUAUCCAAACUGAAGUAUAAACCAGCCUGGUUGCUGUAGCCACAGGGGAAUUUUCAAGGACAAGAACCAGUGCUGGUAAAAAAGUGGUCUCAUGUGGUUUUCCAUACCGGCUCUCAGCAAGGAUUUCAGAGAAAGGAAUACUGUCUCCAAGUAA